GGGCAUUUAGCUCAGUUGGUAGAGCAGCUGACUCUUAAUCAGCGGGUCGGGGGUUCGAACCCCUCAAUGCCCA
rnacentral:tRNA from 1 species